ACAUGCAAGUCGAACGAAGUAGCAAUACUUAGUGGCAGACGGGUGAGUAACAUGUAGGUAUCUACCCUUUGGCCUGGAAUAACACGAGGAAACUUGUGCUAAUACCGGAUAAGUCUUUACGGAGAAAGCUUUAUGCACCAUUGGAUGAGCCUGCACUUGAUUAGUUUGUUGGUGGGGUAAUGGCCUACCAAGACUGUGAUCAAUAGCUGAUUUGAGAGGAUGAUCAGCCACAUUGGGACUGAGACACGGCCCAAACUCCUACGGGAGGCAGCAGUGGGGAAUCUUGCACAAUGGAGGAAACUCUGAUGCAGCGAUGCCGCGUGAGUGAAGAAGGCCCUUGGGUUGUAAAGCUCUUUCGUCGGGGAAGAAAAUGACUGUACCCGAAUAAGAAGGUCCGGCUAACUUCGUGCCAGCAGCCGCGGUAAUACGAAGGGACCUAGCGUAGUUCGGAAUUACUGGGCUUAAAGAGUUCGUAGGUGGUUGAAAAAGUUAGUGGUGAAAUCCCAGAGCUUAACUCUGGAACUGCCAUUAAAACUUUUCAGCUAGAGUAUGAUAGAGGAAAGCAGAAUUUCUAGUGUAGAGGUGAAAUUCGUAGAUAUUAGAAAGAAUACCAAUUGCGAAGGCAGCUUUCUGGAUCAUUACUGACACUGAGGAACGAAAGCAUGGGUAGCGAAGAGGAUUAGAUACCCUCGUAGUCCAUGCCGUAAACGAUGUGUGUUAGACGUUGGAAAUUUAUUUUCAGUGUCGCAGCGAAAGCGAUAAACACACCGCCUGGGGAGUACG
rnacentral:rRNA from 1 species